UGCGGUAGUGAUCUCAUCUCGUACCGCGCCAGGUGUGACUCUUCUCUCUUUCCUACUCUUUCGGUCCCGGACCUCUGUGCGCCGUUGGUAAGACGGAGGAAACAGUAAAGGACUUAAAAUUCACCUAUCGACUCGGCCGUGUUCUACGCUACGAUCAACAGGCUGCUAACGACACGUGUAUGUACCUCGCUAUUCCACAACGAGGAAAGAACGAUCAAGAAAAACGAUCCAUUCGUGAUCGACAAUUCAACGACUACGAUCACUGUGAUGUACCAAGUAUUCCUUCCUGCCAGGAAUCCUUAACCUCUUAACUUAAAAGUACGAGAAUACUCGGGCAAAAUACACUUGUUAUAAUAUAAUUAUUAAGUUAAGAGGUUAAAACUCAAAAGCAAAAUCCAUCGUUUCAUCGGAUAAUAUGGAAUUGCAGUUGAACGAGACUUGGAUAAUCGAGACUAUACUGUGUAUAGUUUAUAGUAUAUAGCAAAUUUUUUGAUGAUUCAAGAUUCUCGGUAGAAGUAUUUCUGAUAGGUGACGAGAGGAUCUUGGCGCGGACAUUUUCUUUGGUUAUCUAGCUGUAUGAGUAUUAUUCGACAUCAUAAAGCUAGGUUACCGGAGUUAAGCUCCUCGCCAUAUCAACUCCAGCGAUCUUCUCCCAUGUAUUUCAGUACUGUCACUGCAACGACACGUCCGACGUGUUUCGAAAGUUACUUCGAAACGGGGUACCAUUCGUAGCCGUGAACCAGAUUGUACAUGGUUUAUCCGUGAAAUCGAUUUAUGUAACGCUGUAAUAAUUUUCUAUGACACUCUGAUGGAA